rnacentral:lncRNA from 1 species
UCUAUUCCAGCCAACCCAGGCCCAAAAAGCAACCAAAUUCAUCUUAGCCUGGCCCACCAUCCUCUCUUCCACUUGACCCAACGUACAAACACCUUCGAGUUCAGUGUGCAAUACACACAACAACAAAAAAAUGCAACAGAAGCUUCGAAAAUGAUAAGCAUCACAAUAAUUUCAACUGACAGUAAUGACAAACAACUGCUACCCAGCUUCGGCCAAUAAUACUAGACCCAAACCUGAUACCAGUGACCAUAUCUGAUUAAAAUUGAUGAUCUAACUACUAACGACGACAAUCUCAAAAUUCAUUCAAAUGAUCGGUGCCAGCAAACUGUACGACAACAUCCAACACAGCUUCAGCAUAUAACAAACCCCAAAUUCAAAUUUCAAAUGGUUGAUACCAAUUGUACGAUAGACAACUCCUCACCUUAUCCUUUACUUCAAAUUCAAAAUUCCCAAAAUUACCCCUGUAUUUUCCUUUCCUACAUCGGUGAAAGUAAAAAUUCACAUCUAUUUUAUUCUCUGUAAAUAGCUCACUUUAGAGCAAAUAGAGGCCAGGUCUGAGAGGUGAAAAACUCCACAGCAAAAAGUCUCUUUUUUCAGUAUAAAAGAUUUUUUUGUAAAAAGUCGAUGAGUUCUCAGAGUCGCGACAAAGUUUUCCGGUUGUGGUCGAGAUCCCGUUGAAGGUUCAGAUCCUAUUUUGCUGCUCCGAACAUACACUCUUCAUCAUUUUUUAGUUUCAAUAUUUCUUUUCUCGUCGAUUUGUGAGUGUGUUAGUCAUAUUAUCGUUGUCGUUGGAAAUUGUUUGCUGGGAAUUGUUGCUGUACAGGCUACCAAAGUCAUUGGUUUAUGAUACAUGUGUGGACAUCUAUUGCCGAUUCUGUUUCAUUCAUUUGUUGUUGCCAAAGUUUUUUUUAAAAGUUCAAAUUUUUGCUUCAUCUAGAAAUUUGCGAUUUUAUUGAUUCACUAUUUUCAUAUCGAAUUGUCGCUCGUUGUAAUUUAACUAAGGUUUUAGAUUAUUAAUUUGUUAUCGAGCUAUGCCUCGGGUUUCUGUAAUUUGUCUCCUAGCUCAUUGUUUUAACAUUGAUUCACUAUUGUUGUCUCAAGUUGUUGCCUAUUUUGACUUAACUAAGAGUUAGAUUAGUAGCUCAUUAUCAA